AGGAACAUCUCAUAGCAGUUUAUCUAGUCAGGAAACAAGCAAGGCCUUCGUGUAGCCUGCUAUCAGUUGUGUAGAUAAAUGUUAUUGUAGAAACAUUUUGUCUGAAUCUUGCAAAAAUGUGCGUCAACCAUCUGUCACAUUUCCGUUUUUUCCCUGCAAUCAGAAGCGUAGGUACGGAGGCCCUAAGAGGCCAUGCAUUAUUCAUUCUCUUCUUUCUUGUUUUCUCGUGAUCUCGACUUAAUUUUCUUUUUUCGAGAUCACGAGAAAACAACUUUUGUUAUGUCGAGAUCACAAGAAAACAACUUUUUUAUUAUGUCGAGAUCACGAGAGAACAGCUUUUUAUGUGGAGAUCACGAGAAAACAAGAAAAAGAAAAAACAUAGUACAUGGCCUCUCAGGGCUUCCGUAUAUAGGCGAUUCUGCCCACCGCACUUUUUUCUUUUCUUUUUUUUUUUUUAUUUUGCAAAUAGAAAAAGAGCACACAACUAUUUUUCUUUAGAUGAACAGCAUAUUUUCAAGGUAUCUGGGAUCUUGGACCGAGUGAACGGCGAGGCAACCAAUCACAGUGAAGCUGUGUGUGACCCCGUCAUCACUAACACACUGCAGCAAGUUAGUGGCAGCUGUGGGAAGGUUGGGUUUCAGGUGAUGUCUUGAGGGCCCGAAUUACCUAAAUUAGCCACAUUAGCUAGCGGACUGGACUUGACAAGAAGGUUUCCAUGGAGCUGGAAAGAUCAUCUGUGCAAACAACUGGGAGGAUUCUGCAGUUUACUGUACUAAUGCUUGUGUUCUAACUGUUAGAACUCUUGAUGUUAUUAUUAUUGAACAUGUUUAGGUUAGAAAUUAUUUUAAAUGUUCUAGGUAUUGUUAUUUACUUGACUGUUAAAGUGUUCUAUACUUUGUGAAAAUGGAAUGCAUAACCUUGUGGACAUGUUUCUUUAUUAUUUUAUUAACAUCAGUGUUGAUUGUUCAUUGUAAACCAGCUUUACUCCCUGACACUGUUCUGGUUCUGGACCCCCUGGAGGUGGUGGCUGAAAGGAGAAUGGGAUCCAAAUUGUCGGCCCAUUAUAUUACAUAGGUGUAUCUAUAAACCUGUUUUGUAUUUAUUAUAAUGUUGGUAUAUUUUUCCAUGCACUGUAUAGUGGUUUAUAAUGUCUCACUGUUAUGGCAACCCGAUUUUCCACAUCAGUAAAUACCUUUCUAUCUUUA